AUGCAAGUCGAGGGGUAUAGGUUUUCGGACCUAGAGACCGGCGCACGGGUGCGUAACGCGUAUGCAAUCUACCUUUCACAGAGGGAUAGCCCAGAGAAAUUUGGAUUAAUACCUCAUAGUAUUAUAUAGUGGCAUCACUUUAUAAUUAAAGUCACAACGGUGAAAGAUGAGCAUGCGUCCCAUUAGCUAGUUGGUAAGGUAACGGCUUACCAAGGCGACGAUGGGUAGGGGUCCUGAGAGGGAGAUCCCCCACACUGGUACUGAGACACGGACCAGACUCCUACGGGAGGCAGCAGUGAGGAAUAUUGGACAAUGGGCGCAAGCCUGAUCCAGCCAUGCCGCGUGCAGGAUGACGGUCCUAUGGAUUGUAAACUGCUUUUGCACAGGAAGAAACAACAUUACGUGUAAUGUCUUGACGGUACUGUGAGAAUAAGGAUCGGCUAACUCCGUGCCAGCAGCCGCGGUAAUACGGAGGAUCCAAGCGUUAUCCGGAAUCAUUGGGUUUAAAGGGUCCGUAGGCGGUUUAGUAAGUCAGUGGUGAAAGCCCAUCGCUCAACGGUGGAACGGCCAUUGAUACUGCUAAACUUGAAUUAUUAGGAAGUAACUAGAAUAUGUANUGUANCGGUGAAAUGCUUANAGAUUACAUGGAAU
rnacentral:rRNA from 1 species